rnacentral:rRNA from 1 species
UACGUAGGGGGCAAGCGUUGUCCGGAAUCAUUGGGCGUAAAGCGCGUGUAGGCGGCUCGAUAAGUCCGCUCUGAAAGUCCAGGGCUCAACCCUGGGAUGCGGGUGGAUACUGUCGGGCUCGAGUCCGGAAGAGGCGAGUGGAAUUCCUGGUGUAGCGGUGAAAUGCGCAGAUAUCAGGAGGAACACCAAUGGCGAAGGCAGCUCGCUGGGACGUGACUGACGCUGAGACGCGAAAGCGUGGGGGAGCAAACAGG